AACGAACGCUGGCGGCAGGCCUAACACAUGCAAGUCGAACGCUCGUAGCAAUACGGGAGUGGCAGACGGGUGAGUAACACGUGGGAACCUUCCCUAUGGUUCGGAAUAGCUCAGGGAAACUUGGGGUAAUACCGGAUAAGCCCUUCGGGGAAGGAUUAUCGCCAUUGGAUGGGCCCGCGUCGGAUUAGCUAGUUGGUGAGGUAACGGCUCACCAAGGCAACGAUCCGUAGCUGGUCUGAGAGGAUGAUCAGCCACACUGGGACUGAGACACGGCCCAGACUCCUACGGGAGGCAGCAGUGGGGAAGUAUUGGUACAAUGGGCGCAAGCCUGAUCCAGCCAUGCCGCGUGAGUGACGAAGGUCUUCGGAUUGUAAAACUC
rnacentral:rRNA from 1 species